GGAUUGUGGCUCAGUGGCAGAGCACUUGCCUAGCACGCGCUAGGCCCUGGGUUCAAUCCUCAGCACCA
rnacentral:tRNA from 1 species